UGUUUCGGCUAGGGGGCCAUCCCGGCUUACCAACCCGAUGCAAACUGCGAAUACCGGAGAAUGUUAUCACGGGAGACACACGGCGGGUGCUAACGUCCGUCGUGAAGAGGGAAACAACCCAGACCGCCAGCUAAGGUCCCAAAGUCAUGGUUAAGUGGGAAACGAUGUGGGAAGGCCCAGACAGCCAGGAUGUUGGCUUAGAAGCAGCCAUCAUUUAAAGAAAGCGUAAUAGCUCACUGGUCGAGUCGGCCUGCGCGGAAGAUGUAACGGGGCUAAACCAUGCACCGAAGCUGCGGCAGCGAACGUAUCACUUAAAGCGAUUCAGCGGAUUACGAUUGACGGAGCGAAGCGACGUCAAAGCGUAUACAAAGUCGAGUCGGUUUAAGGAUACGUUCGUUGGGUAGGGGAGCGUUCUGUAAGCCUGUGAAGGUGGCCUGUGAGGGUUGCUGGAGGUAUCAGAAGUGCGAAUGCUGACAUAAGUAACGAUAAAGCGGGUGAAAAGCCCGCUCGCCGGAAGACCAAGGGUUCCUGUCCAACGUUAAUCGGGGCAGGGUGAGUCGACCCCUAAGGCGAGGCCGA
rnacentral:rRNA from 1 species